UGGGGAAUAUUGCGCAAUGGGGGGAACCCUGACGCAGCCAUGCCGCGUGAAUGAAGAAGGCCUUCGGGUUGUAAAGUUCUUUCGGUAUUGAGGAAGGUUGAUGUGUUAAUAGCACAUCAAAUUGACGUUAAAUACAGAAGAAGCACCGGCUAACUCCGUGCCAGCAGCCGCGGUAAUACGGAGGGUGCGAGCGUUAAUCGGAAUAACUGGGCGUAAAGGGCACGCAGGCGGUUAUUUAAGUGAGGUGUGAAAGCCCCGGGCUUAACCUGGGAAUUGCAUUUCAGACUGGGUAACUAGAGUACUUUAGGGAGGGGUAGAAUUCUACGUGUAGCGGUGAAAUGCGUAGAGAUGUGGAGGAAUACCGAAGGCGAAGGCAGCCCCUUGGGAAUGUACUGACGCUCAUGUGCGAAAGCGUGGGGAGCAAACAGGAUUAGAUACCCUGGUAGUCCACGCUGUAAACGCUGUCGAUUUGGGGGUUGGGGUUUAACUCUGGCGCCCGUAGCUAACGUGAUAAAUCGACCGCCUGNNAGUACGGCCGCAAGGUUA
rnacentral:rRNA from 1 species